GUGUUUGCUGAAUUAAAUAAACCAUGCUGCAUUGACAGAGCUCGUGAAUGCUGCUAUUGUCACCAGAAUCCCUUUUGCUGGUCUGACCCCAAAUCCUGAUGCCAACUGUGGUGCAGUCAAAGUGAAUAAGAAUCGAUCACGUUGACGGGACUAAGAGGCUCUCCUAAAGGAUCAUCAGUGUGGCACAUCUGUUGCUUCAGCCAGUGGCUAUGCCAGACUUGAGAGAAAACACGUUGCUCAUUAAAUGAAGACAACUAUCAUAAAUAAACGAGAACAUUUGGAAAACUACCCAUGCCUCACUUUUGUUUGAAAGAAGCUUCUCUUUUGGAAGUUCUCGCAACAUAAAAGAGAGGAACUGCACUGCCUCAUUCCACAUGAUUCUUUCCUCUUUCAUUUUUCUGGAGAAAAACACGUGUUUCAACAUCUGGACUUCCAGCAAAUGUUGCCUCCUACCUCAUGUGCCUGCUCCUUUGGCAAGGAGAAAUCCAGUGUCUCUGUUGGUGCAGCUCCCUGCUUUAUUUUCGACCACACAGAGGAGAUGGAACUAGAAGGAGUGUGCUCCAGGAUGCCUUGGUCCAGAUGAGAGCCUCAGAAUCCAGCUGAGCAUUGCUUGGGUGUGAACUUCCCUGCCUGCUUCCCUGCACAGGUUCCUCUCAGGCACAAGAUCCUGCAAGCUAUUUUGGUUGGUCCUGCCAUGGAGGUGUUUUCUGCAUGCUGGAAUUUUUAAGAGUGUUGAUUUAUGUCAUUUUGGCAACAACAUGUUGAAAUUUUUCUACCAUUUUGCAACUGUUAUUCAUCCAUUUAAGCGUGUGACCAGCCUUGAUAAAUCAGCGAGGACUCUUAAAUGCUGACUGUGGGAAUCUGUGAAGAAUGAUGCCUUCAUUAUCACACUUGGAUAUACACUGAACCUUGCUUCCCUGUCCAGAGGCACCCUCUCCUCCACAGAAAACACCCUACCUGCCAUGCCUGACUUUCUUGAAUGCAUUUGCAAGGACUGUGCAUUAAGUAAAACAC